CCACCACCACCUCCACACAUUCUCUCUCUACUUUAUCCAAUAAUAAAUCUCUCUCUCUCUCCACAUAUCUGUCUUCCAUAAACUAAAAAAGCAUGGCCCUUUUCCUCUCCUCCAAGGCCAAAACCUACCUAACAGCAGUUCCGGCAAGAUCAAUCCCUCGCUUCUUAGCCCUGCGCUCCCAAUCUAAUACUCCUUCCCACCCAAACCACAUCGACCUCUCAGAUG
rnacentral:misc_RNA from 1 species